rnacentral:lncRNA from 1 species
CCAAGAAUUAAGAAAGGAUAAAUUUAACCCAGUUAAUCAACCCAAAGAAAGCUCCAGAAGUACUGGUAGCUCAAGUGGAGUACAGAAGGCUGUAACAAGAACAAAAAGGUAUGGCUAAUUUGAGCUUUAAUAAAGCUGGCUACAAUAUGAAAAUUCAAUUAUUUUAUAAAUUAUUAAGUAAUCAAUAUUAAAAAUGAAUUAUUUUCUAGAAUCUCUUCCUGCAUUUUAAUUGUGUGUUCCUUUUCAUUCUAGGCCAGGAUUGAUGACAAAGUACUCAACAUCAAAGAAAAUAAAACCAAACAAUCCCAAACAUACCCUUGAUAUAUUUUUUAAGUAAACAUUGAACAUUUUAUCAUUAA